ACGCUCGACACCUACGGGAGGCAGCAGUGGGGAAUAUUGCACAAUGGGGGAAACCCUGAUGCAGCGACGCCGCGUGGAGGAAGAAGGUCUUCGGAUUGUAAACUCCUGUUGUUGGGGAAAAANGGAUGGUACCCCAACAAGGAAGUGACGGCUAACUACGUGCCACAGCCGCGGUAAUCUGAGCGGGCUGGCAAGGC
rnacentral:rRNA from 1 species